GUUUUGGAGGUUUUAGACCUUGCGAAAAGCGAGAAUAGCGACGUUUUGAGCAUUUAGGAGAAAGGCGAAAGUGUUUCUAUUUUUGGCAGAAUACGACUACUUGAGAAUAGCACACUAGAUAGUUUUGUUUCGUUUUUACAGUACUUUUUACAAGAUUACAACAUGAAGAAGUUUCAUGAACGAUACAAAAUGACGGAAAUUAGCCAAGAUAGGAAAUGCAUAUUUAUCACGUCCUAUAUCACUUGAUAUGAACUAUAACCAUUGCAAAAAUUCUGACUCACAGUGAUAGAAUACAAUUCAUGAGAAUAAUUUACAAAGUUAAGCUCGUCUCCCUGAAACAUUUCGCCUCCGAUUGUACUUAUAAUGCGCGUUGUGUUCGUGGGCGUUUUCCUUCAAAAAUUGUAAACAGUGAACAAAAUGUUUAAAGAAGUGUUCUUUAAUGAAUGGAAGGUAAUUAUUUGAAAAAGUUGUUCUUUUUUGAAAAUUGAACGCGGAGAUUAUUACUAAAGUACAAUAUUUAUUCUGAAAUAGGUACUCAACUUUUUUCUUUGAGUAUCGGUACUCGGUAGUUUGUAAAAUCAAGAUGUCAUCUGAAAAACCGUUUUGUGGAGCCACAUUAGGCAAUGUUCAAUCUUAUUAUUGGGACAACAUACAAGGUUCUAUUGACAUACCAGUAUGCAUAAUCGGUGUGAUCUUUAACAUAUUCAACAUUGUGGUGUUCACAAGGAGGAAUGUGAAAUCACCGGUAAACCUAAUCUUCACUCACUUAACAUUUGUAAACUUAUCAGAGCUAUUGGCGUAUAUAUCCCUCACAUGGACACACUUGGCAUAUCAUAGUGAGCAAAGCGAUUUCGAAUAUCAUACUUAUACACGAGCAGUAUUCUUAAUGCGAAGCAGAGAAUUGAUAAACAUUUUUAACCGCAUAUCAGUGUAUAUUGUAAUGAUGCUAGCAAUAUGGAAGUAUAUAGCUGUAUUUUAUCCAUCGAAGGAAUCUCAAUGGUGCAAUAUGAAAACUACACGAAAUACGCUGGUAGCUGGUUACAUCAUAUGCAUUUUGCUUUCUAUACCCGAGUGUUUGUCAGAUCGUAUUGCAACGGUAGACAAUGUGUAUCCGAACGUAAAGAUUUACGUAUUUAGUUUUGAAUCAGAUUCCAUCAUGUACUCAUCGUCAGAAGUUAUCAAAGUAGGGUUGUAUGAAUUAUUGCCAUCACUCGUGUUACCAAUAUUAGGUGUUAGAUUGAUUGCCACCCUAUGGAUGAAAAAAGAACACCCAAGUACUUCUUCAAACGUUGAAAACUGCGGGAACAAUGUCGAAAUGAAGCAACAAACCAAUCGAUCGAUUAUCAUAUCAACGAUAAUUGUGGCACAAUGUUUAAGUUUCGUGAUUCCAUUAGGAUUACUCGACAUAGUAGAUGCAGUGUUUGUACCCGAUUUUCGGUCGAUUCAUUACACAUGUGUUAAUAGCAUCGAAGUAAUACUCGAUCUUUUAGAUUGCGUUAAUAAAUGUAUAAAGUUUAUAGUAUAUUACGCCAUGGAUCGAGAUUUUAGAGUCACAUUCAAAUCGUUGUUCAACAAAAACAAUGCCUCUUUUUGGAAACUGAAGUACGUUUCUUUGAGCUGUACGAGAGGGAAUGAUGAAAGCUUAGAAAUAGAUCGAAUUUAACAAAGGUAAGUACAUAGAUAAUUUUAGAAAUGCAACUUUUAUGGAGGAAUUAUUGCAGAAAUCUGACUGGGAGGGUUAUAACUCAGCGGAAAAGGAUUGCAUCCGCGCCUCCCAUGAAACUAAUUAGACCUGACCAGAUCGGAUCACAUCUGUUCAUUCUUAAUCAGUAAUCAGAUCAAAUGGGAGACCUGAUUGGAUCUGACUGCAUUUGAGUAGAUCUGAUCUGAUCAGAUCCAAUCAUCUUCUCGAGGGAAGAUUUUUACAAACGCCAAAAAUAUUUUUCAUUCAAAUGCCUGUAGAGCGGGCAAAUAGCGGGUUUAAAAAGGAAAAAAUUGGCACAUAAAUUUUUUCUUCGGGAAUUUGUUCAGAUGAACCCCCUGAACUACCAAAAGAAAAACCGCGCCUUCUACUCCUGGAGCUAACUACCAUAAAUUCUCCUAUUUCGAAUCUCUCAAAGUUUUUGGUAUCAGUUAUUAGGAAUAUGCCUGAAUUAGAGUCUGAAUUUAAUAUAAAAAAUUCCAGAGAUGUCAAAAAUCUUAUCAAAGAAGUAAAACCAGACCCAGAAUAUCAACUUGUAUCAUUUGACGUGGUGUCUAUGUACACAUCCAUACCUCCUCAAGACAUCUAUCAAAUAAUCAUUGAAAAAUGGACUAUCAUGAAGAACUUAAGUUCUUCAUGAUAGUCCAAAAAUAAUUUCAAUCUAUAAUGCGAGGUUAUAAAAUUUGUGUUAUUUAAUGGUUAUUUCGUAUCAUGAUAGUCCAAAAAUAAUUUCAAUCUAUAAUGCGAGGUUAUAAAAUUUGUGUUAUUUAAUGGUUAUUUCGUAUUUAAUGAUAUAUUUUACAAACAGACCACUAGUGUAGCAAUGGGUGAUAGCUUCUCACCUAUUGCAUGUGAUUUAAUCAUGGAUAAUAUCUUUAAGAUUAAGAAAAUCAUUGAUAAGUUUAAGGACGAUAUAAAAUUUGUUAAAAAAUAUGUAGACGACAGCCUGUUUUAUGUGAAAAAAAUCCAAAAUUGAGGAACUUUUUAAUUUUGCUAAUUCCCUUCAUAAUAAUAUAAAAUUUACAAUUGAAAAUGAAAAUUCUGGUGUACUUAAUUUCAUUUCUGGAUAUACAAAUAUUGUAACUACUGAUGACCUUUUUUUGACUAAACACUACACAAAACCCAUAGCUAGUGGUAGGUUGGUAAAUUUUCAUUCGUUUCAGCCUGCUAAACAAAAAACCAAUGUUUUAAAAAAUCUCAUAGACGGUCUUUCCGAUGCUUGUUUUUAUAAAGAAAAAAAUUGAUGAAAUUUAUAAUGUAGCCUUAGUAGCUAAUGAUUAUCCGUUCAAGAUGAUAGAAUCUUAAAUAAAAGCCUUUUUUCAUCAAAAAAAUAAUUCUAUCAUUCACUCUGGAAUUGAACCAAAAAAGUUCCAAAGUAUCAGUUAUGCUGGGAAAACUUCCAAAAAAAUUGAAAAUUUAUGCCAGCAGGCGGAUCCUAUCAUCACUUUUGCUUACAAAAAUUCUAAUACCCUCUUCAAACGAAUUUUUUCGAAAAUUAAAAACAAAAUUCCUACCAUGUCCCAUAGUAAUGUAGUGUAUAAAGUAACAUGUAACAACGGUAAUAUUCUGAUUACAUCGGAGAGACUAAACAACAUCUUCGUGACAGAAUGUAUAGGCAUAAUUUGGACGUUAGAAAUGGUAAAACUAACACUGCUCUGUCCGAACAUUCGGUAAAACACAACCAUAAAUUUAAUUUUGAUCAGGCUAAAAUUUUGCAAAGGGGGUGUGGAAAUUUACAAAAAAGAAAAACUGCAGAAGUUCUACAUAAUUAUUUUGAGUAAUACCAAUUGUAUCAAUAAAAAAACAGACGUUUCAGGCUUUGACUCGUACAAGGCUCUGGUCCAAUAUAAAUAGGUUUUUAUCUCCGUUCUCGCUACUCUCGUUGCACAUUAUUCUACUUAUCAGUAUGUUCGUAUCACCUGAUGAAGGCACUGUGUGCUGAAACGUAGUGUAUUUCGUAAUUUUUCUUGAUAAAAAAUACAUACUAAUCAAGCUAUUCUACCAA